CCUCCAGACCGAACACCAACAGCCACCAUGUUCAAGUCCCUGCUCCUCGUCUUCGCCGUCCUGGCUGUGGCCUCGGCCCAGUACAUCGCAUCACCCUACAGCACCUACAGCGCCGGCGCCUACCCCGCCUACUCUGGUGUCAGCGCCUACUCUGCCUACCCCGCCUACUCCGGAGUCAGCACCUACGGCGCCUACCCCUACGCCUACUCCGGCCUUGGCUACGGCUCUUCCUACCUGUACCGUUAAUUUAUCAUGUCCCUGCAGAGGAUAUCCGACUGACCCAGCACUCCUCCAUCUGGAAGCGACCGUUGGGCAACAAAGACUUUCAAGACUUUCGGAGCCACAUUCAUGUCACAAAAUAUGAAAUAAAUAGUUUGCAAGUUUUCUAAA